AGGAAACAUAGUGCAUCUCUAAAGUGGACUUUUACCAAGGUCUCUCAGAACAUGUACUCAAAGUGUUGUUUAUCAUUGUCCUCAGCAAGAGUUGAAAGAUUGCUGGGAUUCUAAUCUGGUACUCCUUAUUUCUCUUGCUGGGGCUAGCCUGUAAAUAAUAGUAGUCAGAGAAAAGGAGGAGGGAAAGGUUAUUAUGAUUUGUAUUUCUGUGCCUUGUUUUGAUGUGUAAUGGGCUCUUCAGGGAUCAUAGAUUUGUUCUUAUGUUGAGGCAUUGGAAAUACAGUUCUGUCCCCUGUAAUCUAAAGCUGUGUGGGGAGGCAGGUCUUGCUGUCCUGCAUGAGCAUUGACUGCUGUGCAUAAUUCAUAGCUCACUAAACAUGGCAAGUGGAUUCAGAUUCCAUCUUAACAUUCUUCCUCAAACCAGAUGUGGGGGAAAAAAUGUGUUGUGUGGAGUGUGGAGUGUGUGCUAUUGAGAAUUAGCCAGGAGUACCAUUGUAUUAUGGUCUCCAAAGUCAGAUCAUUUAGGUCCAGUCGUAUGCACUAUUUACUACUAAUGUGGAUUAGGCAAAAUUACUUAUAUUUUAGCCAUUAUGAUGCUAGUGAUCUUUUUUAGUGCCUGUUUACUUCCUCUUUGGGGCUAGAGGGUGGGUGUCUUAUAUUCCAUCCAUUCCAUGUUGGUUAGAGAGCACCCAAUGUUUUAGAACAAAAAGUUUGUGCACACAUGUGCACAUGCACACACUCAUGAACCUUAAAAGAAAUAAGAAGUGGGACUAUUGUAGCAGGAUCACUGAAGACCUUUUCUGUUCGCAUUUUGUUUCAAAGACAGAAAAGCAAUUUACUCUAAAGACAUUAAUGUCAUGUUGAAUUUUAGAAUUUAAGUAUUGAAGAGUUAUGUAUUCCAAAUUGGAGCCCCAUAGGAACUGUGAUUCUGCCAAGUGUUUAUGUGAGUGAAAUGUGGUGAGUUGGAUUCUAUAUAUUCAGAAGUCUUUUCCCUAGAUUAAGCCAGAUCAUCAGAAUUAUAUGUCUGGACUGGAUCAUAUUAUCUCUGCAUAGAAAUACUUUUCUUGAUCUAACUUUUGGAAAAAUACUGUUAACCUUUAUUGAAGGACAUUGUAUGAUGUGUGCUAGAAAGCAGGUUGUCCUGUAUAAUUGGAGGAGUUGUCAAGGACUGUCAAGGAAAGUCACUGUACUGGGAGAACCGACUGGGGCGAUUCUCUGGGUAUUUGUGAAAUACAUAAAAUAUUUGUGGCUACUGUGGUGAAGAAAGGGUUCCUUUUGAACUUAUAGACUGGGCAUCAGGUAGUCAGGCAAGUUCCUUGUUUACAUUGGUGGGUACACUCAGAGUCAAAGGUUUCCCCACCCUAAGCAGAUGCAUAUAUGAACUUCUGGGAGCCAGUUUGUAGUCUGUCCUCACUUCUUAAUUUAACCCACUGUCCUUUUGUUUUGUUUUUGCU
rnacentral:lncRNA from 1 species